CCCCAACCUGGACCCCAUCCAAUAGGCUCGUGGUCCCUGAUGGUCCUGGACCACUGAUUUGAGGCCUUUCUGCUUCCUUUGAUUCAGUCUUUGGCAGAGACCCAGGAGCAGGAGUCCUUGAUGGCACCUGGCCCUUUCUAGUCACCGACAAGGGAAACCUGAGAAACCAUUCUCAGAAAUGGAACUAAAUUGACACAGCAUUUGUCUCCUCCAGAGGAUACAGCACCAAGGCGCCAUCUUGGAAGUAGACUGGAGCUCUUAGCAGACCAGAACCUGUGGGCCUCCUAAGACGAUGUUGCUGGAUGUCCCCUGCUGACCCCACAG
rnacentral:lncRNA from 1 species